rnacentral:rRNA from 1 species
GUGGGAGGUCGUGCCUUCCCGGUGAGCCUUUCGGGCUUAAACGGACGCGGUAAAUCGUGCUAAGGUAGCUAAAUUACGGCCUAUUAAUUGUAGGUCCUGUGAAUGGUUUGACGAGCCUCCAACUGUCUCUAGUUUAUUUUGGUGAACUUGAAUUGGAUGUGCAAAUGCUUCCAUAGGUAAGAAAGACGAGAAGACCCCGUGAAGCUAGAAAUUUUAGUUGUUUAAGUUAAGCCCUCAGGCCAUGAGCUGGCCAAAUUGAGUUGAUGUAUUUCAGCUGAGUGGGGGAAGCAGUGAUAGGUUUUGGCUGGGGCAGCAAAAGAGCAAAACUAGACUCUUUUAGUGAAAAAGCGGGUGCGUGACGACCCACAAUAAUUUUAGUUUUGUGAUUAACAGAAGAAGUUACUCCGGGGAUAACAGCGUUAUCUGCCCUGACAGUCCUUAUAGACGGGCGGGUUUGCGACCUCGAUGUUGGCUCUGGAUAUCCUUAGGCUUGUAGGCGGUCUUUAAGGUUGGUUCGUUCGCCCAUGAAAAUCC